UGAAACCGAUCCAAUUUCAAAGAUUCUCUGAUCCAUGUCUCCCUCUAUAGGCCUGCCAUCCUACUGCACCUGCAAACUGUAUCCGACAUCUGAUACCUUUCUUCAUCCUUGUAUUCCCUUCAUUUAAGAAUUUUAAGUCGAGUGGAAGAUUGUCCCCCACACCGAUACAAACCUGCGUUUUUCUAGCAUCGAUUGAUCCUUUUUUUUGUCUGCUAUUGAGAAAAUGAGUAACCUGGAAAAUUGUAGUGAAAUAAAGGAGAAAAAAAUCAAAAUAAUAAUUUGUAAUUAUUUAUUCCAUAUUCGUUCAGAUAUGUAUUAACACCGUCAAGAUUACUUCAUCAAUUAUAACCUUAUUUUUAUAUUGAUUGAAAUAAUAGAUGUAGAAGAAUAAUGACAAAAGGUAAUAUGGAAACAUAUAUGCAUGUUUUAUAAUAUGAUGCAAUAGAACAAUGCAAUAGAACAAUAUUAAAUAAGAAAAAUAAUAUUUGAAAAAUUUAGAAUGAAAAAGAGAUAAAAAAUGAUGAUAAAACAAAAUAAUAUUAAACUUA